CAAAAACUUUGGUUUCAGUUGACAACCCCAUGUCCUAUGGUAAAGAUUGUGUCCGCUCUAUAUCUUGAGAACCGUUAUCAUUUCAAAGUUUAUACUUGACAUGUAUAUAAACCAACACCAAAGGGUGUGUCAUAAUUUAUGUGCAACUUCCUAGGUCAAAGGUCAAGGUCAAAAACUUUGGUUUCAGUUGACACCCCAUGUUCUAUGGUAAAGAUCGUGUCCGCUCUAUAUCUUGAGAACCGUUAUCAUUUCAAAGUUUAUACUUGACAUGUUUAUAAAACCAACACAAAGGUGUGUCAUAAUUUAUUUACAACUUCCUAGGUCAAAGGUCAAGGUCAAAAACUUUGAUUUCAGUUGACAAACCCAUGUCCUAUGGUAAAGAUACAAUUUUUU
rnacentral:lncRNA from 1 species